rnacentral:rRNA from 1 species
AAAACCUGUCUCAGUUCGGAUUGGAGUCUGCAACCCGACUCCAUGAAGCUGGAUUCGCUAGUAAUCGCGCAUCAGCCAUGGCGCGGUGAAUACGUUCCCGGGCCUUGUACACACCGCCCGUCACACCAUGAGAGUUGGGAAUACCCGAAGCCUGUGAGCUAACUUUUAGAGGCAGCAGUCGAUGGUAGAAUCAAUGAUUGGGGUGAAGUCGUAACAAGGUAAC